CAUCUUCUUUCUCCCCUUUUUUAAUUCACCACCAAUGUUAUGAUGGAUCCUAUCAGUUCCAAUUCGAAAAUCCAAGAAAAAAUCAUUUAUUUAUCGUUUUAAUUUUUGUUGAUAACCUUUGUUUAUAUAUAUUAAAAAUAAAUGAUUUGUUAUGAAUUUUAGAAUAUAGUUUCACAUGGUUCAUAAUUUUCACUGUGAUUUUCGUAAGGGGUGCUUGUGAUUCACGUUAGAUGCUAAGACGUAUGUGAUUAGGUUAGCUGGAUUAGUUUUGUAAAUAAUCUCUGUAGUAUAUACCUAAAUUUUCUGGCUUGCAAGGUUUGUCAAUUGUAAAAAAAAAAAAAAAAAAACUGGAUUUUUUUUUUAAAUGGAAUAAUUUAGGGAAAGGAAUUAAUUGAAAAAUUAUGUUCUAUCAUUUUAUGACUAUAUGAGCUGGAAAGCGUCAAUAACAAACUGAACGAGAUAAGAAUUUCCCUAGAAUUCUCAGUCUUAGAAUCUAGAUGGGCGUAAGUUUCUGAAUUUGUAAGUGUCAUUUCUUAGAUAAGAUUAAAAGAAGAUUGUUCUGGAUUUCAGUUUUUUAGUACAAGUUAUAGAAAUGGAUUGCUUUAAUCUCCAAUAUGUACACUUAAUCUUAUGGAACUGUGGCAUAUGCUUUGGAUUCAAUAUAUAUAAUGCAUGGUUCUGAGUUUUCUAAUCAUCUCUGUAGAAUUGAUAGCUAUAAUAUAAUUACAUUUGUUGUAUACAUGGAGGUAUAAUCACUUUCGGUGUUGGAGAAACAAGGUAUGAGGCUACUUGAAAAUCUCGGAUGAGCAUUUAGUAAAUUUAGCAAGACCAUGGUGAUAUGAAGUUUUUGAGUUAGGUAUAACUAUCUCAAACCCAGAUAGGAUACUUGUUACUGUUGCGUUCUGUUUAGUUUCUGUUGUAUUCUUAUAGUUUGCUUGGCCGUUUGAGAGUUAGUAGAGAAGUGUUGGUUGUUAUUUGAGGUUUAUAAAUACGUGUUGAAAAGAGUUGAGCCAUAGAACAAUGUGGUUGUGUUGGUAAAGGGGAGCUUCUUGAAUCAACUCAAUGUAUCAUUAUUUGAUUUGGUCUAAGACCAGUUCUUUGCUAAUGUAAGAAAGAGGAGUUUCAGUCAUUUUUGUGUUUUGUGAGAUAGGAUACCUAGAAAGCAACCACCAUUCACUCAAAUAGUUGAGCGACUGGCAGCCAGUAUAGAUUCAUUCUUCUCACCUGGUCCAACUUCACAACCAUUCUUGGGUUGGUCAGAAGUCAGUCUUGUUUGGUAAGACGGAAUUGGAUGUAGAGGGUGCUCAAAAAUAUCCUAACACAAUCAAGGGCCUAGCUUUGUUUUUGCAUUGUUUGAGUUUUUAGUUUACACAAGGCAAUGACAAAGUGUUUUUCAAUGUGUGAGUUUGUUUAUUGUUAGGCUCGUUUGAUAUCAAUUGAGAUUGCCCAAGAGUGUUCUAUAUUCUGUAUUUUGUGACUUAAUAAUGGCAGUGAUACACUAGCACAAAUGCAUGCAUCAUGCUCGCUCACAAACACAAAAGCACACUUUCACUUUCUGUGUUUCUGGUUAAAUUCUUGUUUUGUUGAAUCUGUGCAUUGUGAUCCUUCCUUCUCUUUGUUUCCGUAUUUACUGUUUGCUUACUCAUAAUCACUGUAUUUAUUUAAAGACUUGUUUCUAACUUGUUAUGUUUUAAUGCCUCAUGAUGGAUGUCAUGCUUUGAAAUGCCAAAAACAGAGUUUAGUAUUCUGGUGGUAUCUUAAUAUAAAAAAUGCCAAAGGUUAGAAGAGUACGGUCCUUGUCUUUUGAUCAAUCUAGGGCAUCUCCUUACCCUUGUGCAUCUAAGGAUGAUAAACCAUGCAAUUUUAGUAGUCCAUUGGGAUCUGUCGAUGAUAUGAAAGAAUGGGAAGAUGCUAGGUGCCCUAUAUGCAUGGAACACCCACAUAAUGCUGUGCUUUUAAAAUGUUCAUCUCAUGAGCAGGGCUGCCGGCCUUACAUGUGCAAUACGAGCUACCGGCACUCAAACUGCCUUGACCAGUUUUGUAAGUCAUCUGAGCCUUACUCUUCAACAGCAUUGCUGCAAGAAAUUCCUCUCACAAGCAAUGCCUCUCGCAGAAUAAGUGAAGAACCAUCACUCCCUGGGUUAACCAGGCCUUGUGGGAGCCUUAUGCAUGGAAAGCUGGUCUGCCCUCUUUGUCGAGGAGAUGUCUAUGGCUAUAUUGUAAUACUGCCUGCUCGUCAGUUCAUGAACACCAAAGUUAGAAGUUGCUCUUCCGAGACUUGUGAUUUUACUGGAACCUACACUGAACUUAGGAAACAUGCGAGAUCUGAACACCCUUUUGUGCGGCCAUCAGAGGUGGAUCCAACACGGCAGCGCGAUUGGAGAAGGUUGGAAUGGGAAAGAGAUUUGGAGGAUGUCCUUAGCUUAGUACAACCAGGGUUUGCAGAAGAGAGUAGUUUUGAAGACCCAUCAGAUGAUGUUGAUUCUUGGAUGACUUCUUUUUUUGCUAAUAUGUUUCGUUCUAUUGAGAUCGUGCUUGUUACCCGUUUUAUGAAUGCUUCACGAGAUAGAGAGCAGUCCCAUCAUAGAAGAUUAGAUAGAAUGCCAAGGUUACAUCAUGAUGGUAGUACUAGCUCUGGCACUAGACGGAGCAAUAAUUUUCAUGAGAGUAAUCUCCAUGCCAGACGACUGCGAUGGCGCACACCACAACCAAACUAUGAGGUGGAAACUAUUCCGGACACCCAUUCAAACUAUGGGGCUGGAACUAAUCCUUUCACUCGAAGGAGCAAUCAUUCUGUUCAAGAUAGAGCACCUCAUGGGCGACGACUUCAUUGGCGGAAUCAGAGAUGGUCAAGCUACAAUAACCAGUGGUGAUUGCAGCACAUUGUGAGUUACUUGGCUCGUAAUUUAGAGCCACCUUGGCUUAUAGCUAUGUUGCGGAUAAAGUUCAAAUGUGGGUUAAAAUGGCUGAAGGGUUUGGGACGUCCCAUUGUUAAGUUGCAAUAAUACAUUAUAUUGAGGGCUUUUGGGAUUGUAUUUCAACCUUUCUAGUUCACCUUUUCGAUCUUUGUCAAAACUAAUGGCUUUUUAUUUGUUCCUGUGAUCAAGGGAACUUUUUUUAUUUAUUAUGGCAAUUUGAAAGUGAGAAGUGUGUGGCUACUGGCAUUCAAAAUAACUGAUGUAUUUUUUUUAAUGUUCUAUUUUAUUUUAUUUUUUCA